rnacentral:rRNA from 1 species
AAGUCGUAACAAGGUUUCCGUAGGUGAACCUGCGGAAGGAUCAUUACCGAGAAAGGGGCUUCGCGCUCCCGGGGGCUUUGGCCCCCAACUCUCCACCCGUUGUCUACCUACCUUUGUUGCUUUGGCGGGCCUCGGGCCCCACCGCGCCGACCCGGGGGUCGGCGAGCGCCCGCCGGAGGCCCAUUAAACUCCGUUUAAUCAGUGAUGUCCGAGUUAUAAACACAAUAGUAAAAACUUUCAACAACGGAUCUCUUGGUUCCAGCAUCGAUGAAGAACGCAGCGAAAUGCGAUAAGUAAUGUGAAUUGCAGAAUUCAGUGAAUCAUCGAAUCUUUGAACGCACAUUGCGCCCCUCGGUAUUCCGGGGGGGCAUGCCUGUUCGAGCGUCAUUGCACCCCUCAAGCGCAGCUUGGUCUUGGGCUUCCGCCCUUGCGGCGGGCCCGAAAAGCAGUGGCGGUCCGGUGUGACUUCAAGCGUAGUAAAUUUAUCCCGCUUUGAAAGUUCGCGCCGUGGCCUGCCAGAGAACCCCAUAGGCUUCAAUAAUUGACCUCGGAUCAGGUAAGGAUACCGCUGAACUUAAGCAUAUCAAUAAGCGGAGGAAAAAGAAACCAACAGGGAUUGCCUCAGUAACGGCGAGUGAAGCGGCAAUAGCUCAAAUUUGAAAUCUGGCCCCUUCGGGGUCCGAGUUGUAAUUUGUAGAGAGUGUUUCGGGUGAGACCACGGUCUAAGUCCAUUGGAACAUGGCGUCAUAGAGGGUGAGAAUCCCGUAUGUGACUGCGGCUCGAGCCCAUGUGAAGCCUCUUCGACGAGUCGAGUUGUUUGGGAAUGCAGCUCAAAAUGGGUGGUAAAUUUCAUCUAAAGCUAAAUACUGGCUGGAGACCGAUAGCGCACAAGUAGAGUGAUCGAAAGAUGAAAAGCACUUUGGAAAGAGAGUCAAACAGUACGUGAAAUUGUUGAAAGGGAAGCGCUUGCAACCAGACCUGCCCGUAGGUGAUCAGCCGCUGUUUUCCAGUGGUGCACUCGCUCUGCGAUCAGGCCAGCAUCGGUUUUGGCGGCCGGAUAAAGGCCUUGGGAAUGUAGCUUCCUUUCGGGGGAGUCUUAUAGCCCUCGGUGCAAUGCGGCAGCCGGGACCGAGGACCGCGCUUCGGCUAGGANGCUGGCGUAAUGGUUGUAAGCGACC